rnacentral:rRNA from 1 species
UACGGAGGUCUCAAGCGUUGUUCGGAUUCAUUGGGCGUAAAGGGUGUGUAGGUGGCGCCGUAAGUCGGGUGUGAAAUUUCGGAGCUUAACUCCGAAACUGCAUUCGAUACUGCGGUGCUUGAGGACUGGAGAGGAGACUGGAAUUCAUGGUGUAGCAGUGAAAUGCGUAGAGAUCAUGAGGAAGACCAGUGGCGAAGGCGGGUCUCUGGACAGUUCCUGACACUGAGACACGAAGGCCAGGGGAGCAAACGGG